rnacentral:tRNA from 1 species
GGGCGUUUAGCUCAGUCGGUAGAGCAGCUCGCUUACAACGAGCAGGUCGUCGGUUCGAUCCCGGCAGCGCCCACCA